ACCAAGGCUAUGACGCAUAACUGGUCUGAGAGGAUGAUCAGUCACACUGGAACUGAGACACGGUCCAGACUCCUACGGGAGGCAGCAGUAGGGAAUAUUGCUCAAUGGGGGAAACCCUGAAGCAGCAACGCCGCGUGGAGGAUGACACUUUUCGGAGCGUAAACUCCUUUUGUUAGGGAAGAAUAAUGACGGUACCUAACGAAUAAGCACCGGCUAACUCCGUGCCAGCAGCCGCGGUAAUACGGAGGGUGCAAGCGUUACUCGGAAUCACUGGGCGUAAAGGACGCGUAGGCGGAUUAUCAAGUCUUUUGUGAAAUCUAAUGGCUUAACCAUUAAACUGCUUGAGAAACUGAUAAUCUAGAGUGAGGGAGAGGCAGAUGGAACUGGUGGUGUAGGGGUAAAAUCCGUAGAGAUCACCAAGAAUACCCAUUGCGAAGGCGAUCUGCUAGAACUCAACUGACGCUAAUGCGUGAAAGCGUGGGGAGCAAACAGGAUUAGAUACCCUGGUAGUCCACGCCCUAAACGAUGUAUACUCGUUGUUGCUCUGCUAGUCAGGGCAGUAAUUCAGCUAACGCAUUAAGUAUACCGCCUGGGGAGUACGGUCGCAAGAUUAAAACUCAAAGGAAUAGACGGGGACCCGCACAAGCGGUGGAGCAUGUGGUUUAAUUCGAGGAUACGCGAAGAACCUUACCUGGGCUUGAUAUCCUAAGAACCUCUUAGAGAUAAGAGGGUGCUAGCUUGCUAGAACUUAGAGACAGGUGCUGCACGGCUGUCGUCAGCUCGUGUCGUGAGAUGUUCGGUUAAGUCCGGCAACGAGCGCAACCCACGUAUUUAGUUGCUAACAGUUUGGCUGAGCACUCUAAAUAUACUGCCUUCGUAAGGAGGAGGAAGGUGUGGACGACGUCAAGUCAUCAUGGCCCUUAUGCCCAGGGCGACACACGUGCUACAAUGGCAUAUACAAUGAGACGCAAUAUCGCGAGGUGGAGCAAAUCUAUAAAAUAUGUCCCAGUUCGGAUUGUUCUCUGCAACUCGAGAGCAUGAAGCCGGAAUCGCUAGUAAUCGUAGAUCAGCCAUGCUACGGUGAAUACGUUCCCGGGUCUUGUACUCACCGCCCGUCACACCAUGGGAGUUGAUUUCACUCGAAGCCCAAAUACCAAACUGGUUAUGGUCCACAGUGGAAUCAGCGACUGGGGUGAAGUCGUAACAAGGUAACCGUAGGAGAACCUGCGGUUGGAUCACCUCCUUUCUA
rnacentral:rRNA from 1 species